GAAUUUUGGACAAUGGGCGAAAGCCUGAUCCAGCAAUGCCGCGUGCACGAUGAAGGCCUUCGGGUUGUAAACUGCUUUUGUACGGAACGAAAAGCUUUGGUGUAAUACCCUGGAAUCAUGCCGGUACCACAAGAAUAAGCACCGGCUAACUACGUGCCAGCAGCCGCGGUAAUACGUAGGGUGCAAGCGUUAAUCGGAAUUACUGGGCGUAAAGCGUGCGCAGGCGGUUUUGUAAGACAGAGGUGAAAUACACGGGCUCAACCUGGGAACUGCCUUUGUGACUGCAAGUCUAGAGUACGGCAGAGGGGGGUGGAAUUCCGCGUGUAGCAGUGAAAUGCGUAGGUAUGCGGAGGAACACCGAUGGCGAAGGCAACCCCCUGGGCCUGUACUGACGCUCAUGCACGAAAGCGUGGGGAGCAAACA
rnacentral:rRNA from 1 species